rnacentral:lncRNA from 1 species
UUUUUAUUUAAUUUAUUAUUUUUUUUUUUUUAGGAAAACUUUAAUUAAAUAUUUUUGUUUUUCUUUUUGCUUUUCUUGCAACAUAAACAAUGUACCAAUGUUACCACAAAACACUUAUGUGUGAGCACAUAUUAUUUUAAUAAAACGGCUUAUAAGCAAUUGAAAAAAUAAACAUAUUAACAUAUUGACAAAUUAAUAUAUGAAAAUAUAAACAUAUAAAAGUAUAAAUAUGUAAAGGAAUAAACACUUAUGUAUUUAUCCCAUUGCAUAAAUACCUAUAUAUGUAUGUGCUUUUAUUUUUUUUUUGUUCUGCGAGUGUGCAACAAAAAGCAAUAAAGGAUUUAUCAAAUUAGAUAUAUAUAUAUAUACACACACAUAUAUAUAUAUAUAUAUAUAUAACAUGACAUUUUUCAUUAGUAAAAAACACCUACAACUGUUAUUUUUGUUAUUUAUUUUAAAUUUGUGUUACCCCAAUUAUUUUAAAACAUGUCAUUUGAAGAAAUUGUAUAGAAUGCUUCAUGAGAAAACGGGUAGGAAGAUACGUUUCAAUUAUAACAAUAAUAAUGUAAAAAAUUGUAUUACUACAUUAUGUAAAAAAAAAAAAAAAAGUUAUUUUUAUAUUAACAAACUAAAAAGAAAAAGUCGUGCAACUUAUAAAUAUAACAAGUAUAAAUUAUUUUCUCUUUUUUCAAUGUUUAAUAAAAAAGGUAAAAAAAAUGAUAACACAAUAAAUGAGUUAAACAAUAAAAAUGAAAAAAAACAAAACAGUGUAAAUAACAAUACCACACAUAUUGAUAAUAAUCAAAACGAGUUAUAUAAUGAUGAUAAAAAAGAUGAACAAAAAUUGAAGAACAUUAAAGAGGAGGUAAAUGGUUUAAGCAGUGUUAAUAAAGAUACACCUGAAGAACGUGGGGAUGGAGUGGACGGGGUUAAAUUGGAGGAAACGGUUGAAAGAAUCGACUCAGUUAGUGAUAGUAGCAAUGGUAGUAGCAGUAAUAGUAGCAGUAAUAGUAGCAGUAGUAGUAGCAGUAGUAGUAGCAGUAGUAGUAGUAGUAGUAGCAGUAAUAGUAAUAAUGGUAAUAAUGGUAGCAGCAAUGAUAUAGAAAAACAAAUUUUGCAUGAUAUUGGUAAACAUAUGGAAAUAGACAUAAACCUAGAUUUUAAAAACGCAUUUAAAAAUAUAUAUAUAUACAAGAAGCAUUUAGAAAAUGUUAAGGAUAAACUAAUAAGUGCCAUUAAUAUGAUAUUUCUUUCUUGUACUGUAUAUAUAGAAAAAAGUGAAGACAUAUAUUCUUUUUUUUUUACGUCGAUUUUUAACAUAUUUCAAAAUGCUUUUUAUAAAUAUACAUAUUUAGAACACAUAGAAAAUAUAAAUAACAAUGAGAUAAAAAAUAUAUAUAUAUAUAUUAAAAAUAAUUAUAAAACAUUUAUUGAAUUAAUUAACAUAAUGGAA